rnacentral:rRNA from 1 species
UACGAAGGGGGCUAGCGUUGUUCGGAAUCACUGGGCGUAAAGCGCACGUAGGCGGAUUGGUAAGUCGGGGGUGAAAUCCUGAGGCUCAACCUCAGAACUGCCUUCGAUACUGGCAAUCUCGAGUCCGGAAGAGGUUGGUGGAACAGCUAGUGUAGAGGUGAAAUUCGUAGAUAUUAGCUAGAACACCAGUGGCGAAGGCGGCCAACUGGUCCGGUACUGACGCUGAGGUGCGAAAGCGUGGGGAGCAAACAGG